UCGGUGCCGCCGCGGGCUCCCCUCAGCCUGCCGGCCCCGGGGCUCUGCGGGGGCCGCCCGCGGGGUGCGGGCUGUGCCCACAGCGGCUGCCUGGGGGGGCUCGGUCCCGAGGCGAAGCUGCUGGCCGAGAGCAGCUGCCGCUCGGUGUCACAGCCCCCCGGCCCGCCGCUGACCCCGCCCUGCAAGGCGCUGCACUUGCUUACAGACGCCCUGCCGAGAGCAACCGAGCUGCCCCUGCGAGCGGCUGGCACAGCGACGGAGCGGAAAGCAAAUCCUCGCCGGAGGGAUGAUCACUUCAGGUUCUGCACAUCUCAGUUCUGAGUAAUCACAAUGGACAAUCUCCACCGUCUCAGCCUCCUAGAGGUCAGGGUCUUGUGUACUUAGAAACUUCUUUGAACUGUCAGGAGAAAAAAAAAUCAAGGCUAUCUUCUGGGUGGAUAAGUGGACUUCCAGGAAUUUCUCCCGCAAUGAUUUGUGCAUAAUAAGGAUUUUUUUUCCUUAUCAUAGGAGAAGAGCACAAAGUCAAUCACAAGACAGAUUUAGUGGCCAGCCUCUUAAAUAUCUACUUGCAGAGCAGAGGCAGAAACGGUCUAAUGCCUGGCCUUUUGGCAGAUCAGACUGGGUAUGGUCAGAUGUGCCGGGGUAAAUAAACUGCUGGUGCCCUACAGAUGACCCACAAAAAAUUUGCAAUUUUCUGGCACUUUUUCACUCUUCCUUGAACACCUCUACAUUACAACUGUUUUUUUUUUCUUCUCCCUUAAUUGCUGUUCUUUAAGGGGUGUGGUGCUGAGAGAGGCAAGAUUUAUAUUAAAAGACAGCUUUUUCUUUUUCCCUGCUUGUUCACAGGUUAGUGAAUUACUCUAUGUGCCUUCCAGGCAUCACAGAAUCACAGAAUUGUUUAGGUUGGAAAAGACCUUUAAGAUCAUCAAGUCCAACUGUUAACCCAGCACUGCCAAGCCCACAACUGAACCAUGACCCUAAGCACCACAUCUACACCUCUUUCAAAUAUCUCCAGGGAUGGUGACACCAUGGCAUCCCUGGGCAGCCUGUUCCAGUGCUUGACAACUUUUUCAGUGAACAAUUUUUUUCCUAAUACUCAAUCUAAACUUCCCCUGGUACAACUUGAGGCUGUUCCCUCCUGUCCUGCCGCUGGUUCCUUGGGAGCA